rnacentral:tRNA from 1 species
UGCUGGUGUAGCUCAGUUGGUAGAGCAACGCACUCGUAACGCGUAGGUCGGGGGUUCGAGUCCCUUCACCAGCAU